ensembl:lncRNA
CACCCGAGGCUGUGAAAGAGCUGCGCCGAGCAACAGAUUUGGCGCUACGCACUACCAAACAUACUGCUCGGGCAGUGGGCCGUUCUAUGGCUGGGUUGAUUACGGUUGAGCGCCACCUCUGGCUUAAUCUCACCGAUAUCAAAGAAAAGGACAAAUCUUUUCUCAUGGACGCCCCUGUUUCUAAAGACGGUUUGUUUGGAGAGGCGGUCACUUCGGUGGUGGAUAAAUUUAGGGCAGCGAAACAGCAAUCAGCCGCCUUCCGCCAGCUGAUUCCACGCAGGCCCAGGGAGAUUGAACGGCGGCAGGCGUCCGCACGGUUUCGUUCAACCUCCUCUCAUCGCCAACGGGUUGCCUCACGAGAAGAGCCUUCACCUAUGGCGCCCCCUCGUAAAGACUGGGAUCCUAAGGCUUUUCCACCGGCUCGCCAGCGACAGCGGAAAAGGUUGGACCUGAGCUCGACGGCUAAUGCCUCUCGUUCUCGGGCUCCUAAUAGCAGCUCCCGAUACUCUCGCUGCUUGCCUGGGACUGUGCCCUCCACUAGAGAGCGCUGUUGGACCUUUUUUGCGCAUCCAACCCUCUCACUGCAGUCCCCACGCUCAAACAUUGACUGUCUCGCCGCAAAGUGCGCGGCGAGCAGCAGGGGAGCAAGCUCCCAGGUCGGGCGGGCCCUCAGACACUCUGCGCAAUUCAGCCUUCAGAAUCCGAGGGACGGUCCAAGGGUCUGGCAAAGACGGCCCGUUUAUGACGGCUCACACAGCCGCCGCUUUUUCGCUAGCGGCAGAGCCCGAUGUUCAUCUUGUUGGAUUAAUUCCUGCCGUGGACACGCUUCAGGAUUAUACACAACGAGAUGCAACGAAUUUGACGCAUGCGCUUCCCCGGCUUACGGACGCCGCGAGCCUUCCGUGCUCGGGCAUUUUAAUGCGUAUGAAAACGUUGCAAAAGGCGGAAAUCUUGAAACCAUUGACGUUAUUUCGGGCCGCGUGGGAACACUUGCCCGGCAUUUCACAAUGGGUGUUACGCACGAUUGUCAUGGAUACACCAUUCAGUUUCGAAAAAGCCUGCCUCCUUU